CCCUGCUGCAAAGUACAUGGUGAGGCCGGCCCAGUGGGGCUGGGGCAGGCAGGGGAGCUGAGACUCCCCUCAACCCUGUUGCAGCCCUGGGGCCAUGGCUGCCUCCCCAACACAAGACGUGGCCAGAGCACAGCAGCAGCUGGUCCGAGGUCACACAAUGAGGGGCCAGCAAGGCCUGCCCACCAGGCUGGGCCAGUACAGGAGGAAAAGGUGCUGGGCUUGGAAAUGCGACUUUACACCUCUGCAGCAGAGCUCUGUCCCCUCCCCCAACUCCCAUGAGAAGGAACCUGAAGUCACACUGUGGCGGGCUGGCAGCAAGGGCCUGUGGGGCGCCUGGGGGACAAGACCUGGUCUCACCAGGAAGCGGUGGGCAGCACUGAAGGGCUGUGGGCUGAGAUGCGCCCUGAGCUGCGGAGUACAGAGCCCGACCUGGCAGAGCUGCAUCCCACUUCACUUGGCAGGGAUUGGAGCGGGAGGGCUGGGAUUCAGCCCCCAAAGUACAGGGCCACGUGGCUGUGCCUGGCCAGAUCUGAGCUCACCCCCAGGGUGCCGUGGCCUCGAUUGGCCCCCGCCAGUCACAGCACUGGGCCCACCACACAUCAGGGAGGCCUCUGUGGUGCAGUGCUCUCGUCCCUGCCCCGUGCACAAUGGCAGCUCACUUGGCACAGGACACUUGGCCAUGGCCCAGCAGACUCCAGGGAUGAGGACCGUGGACCCUGGGGCAGGACACACCCACCACGCACUCUGCCACAGGGCAGAGUCAGCCAGGGGUCUCCCUGGUGCCAGCCCCAUCCUGGGCUGGGCCCUAGCUCUGAAGUGACAAUGGCCUGGCCCCAGGGCACUGCGACUUCAGGACCUGGCCUGGUGGGUAACCUCCUUGCUCCAAGGGGCAAGGGCUGCAAGCUGGUGCCCACCCAAGGAGCUGGACAGAAGUUGGCCAGGUGCCAGGCAGAGGUGCCAUUAGCAGAAGUAGGUGCUGCCUGCUCCUCCCCCACACUCUGCUGGCACUGCUGGCCACAUAGCCUACAUGGUGCAGGGUCCUCUGCAGGAGGACAAGUGGACCUGGUUACCCUGCAGCUCUGUGCUGGCACAGGAAGGACCUAGCAAGCUUGGUGGUUCUGCAGAGGUGUCUGCACAAGUGGACCUCACUGUGGAGGGUGGGAGGUCUGGAAAGGGGGCAGGGAUAGCAUGACCAUAAGGCCCAGCACCGUGGACCCAUCAGGUGGGAAAGGAGCCGGGGUGGAGCUGCCGACCUGAGGAUGGUGGGCCGCAGGGGAAGAGCAUGGCCCUUGGCUGAGUGACCCUCAGGUGGCCGUGGAGAUGCCCUAGGCCUGAUGGGGAGAAAGAGGCUCUGGAGGCAACGGCCUUUCUGCCACCCAAGGACCCCUCCGUUCCCUACAGCCACCCUGAAUGCAAGCUGAGCCCAUGCAGCUGGGUGCCUCCCAGUUACUCUGAGCCCUGAGCUGGCCUAGCGCUGCGGACCGCGCCCAGCAGCCUUUGUUCUGAGCCGCCCCCACCUGGCCUCUCGGCCCUGGCCUUGGCUCACUGCUCACUACCUGGGGGACUGUGGAGGGGGCCAUCCAUGGGAGUAGAGGACAGUCCACACGGAGACUGUCCACAAGGACGAGGACUGUCCAUGGGAGGCUGUCCACAGGGGAAGGACCGUCCAUGGAGGGGACCGUCCACAGGGAAGGGGACUGUCUGUGCCCCACCCCAGAGGCAGUACGCCUUUUCCUGGCCAAGGAAGACAAAAGGAGAGGGCUCAUCAGGGAGGAGCCACAAACAGGAAGCCGGCUGAUGUGGGGACCUCCUGCUCCCCGUGGAGUAGCUACCCCUGUGUCCCCCGAAUGCACCACUCAGCCAUAGAGGCUCAAAGGUGUCUGCCCCUCUCCUGGCUGUAUCUCCCCAGCCUUCCCCACCCUCAUGGCCCUGUCCUGCUCUCCCGACUCCUUGGGCUGCCGGCGCCCACGCUCAGGGGCUCACACAUCAUUAAGUAGGGCCUGGCUCCUGGGUGUGGGUGUGGCCAGCCAGGGGGCCCCAUCACCCCAGCAGAGGAAGGGGCAUCCACAGCCCAGAAGCCCCCACUUGGAGAAGGUCUGGAGCAAGAAGCGGACAGGGAGGGGUUAAAUCAAAUCACUGCCAGAGCCUCACCCAGUGCCACUCGGGUGAGCCCUGCACAGCUCCGAGGCUGGGGAGCAUGGGGUCCCGGGGUCUCCUAGACCUCUGUGGCUAAGGGGCAGGGCUGGCUAGCGGGGACACAGGCUGUCCCCCGGGUGCUCAGGCACCUUGGCUGGCCUGGAGGUCUGGGGGCUUCCCAGGAUUCAGCCAGGCUGUGGGGGCAGUGAGAGCAUGGGGGGCUCUCAGGGAGCAGGAAGGUGGGAGGGGGCUUCCUUCCACCUAGAAAAUGAGUGGGCAGCACGGGGCUGGCCCCACGGGCCAGUAGCCAUCGGGGGCUCAUGCCGGCUCCCUUGCCCCGCAGCUGGGGGUCAGGCCACAGCCUAUGUGGGCCGGCCGAGCCCCAUCAGACCUUCCGCUGGUGCUGCCAAGGCCAGCAGCUGCGUGGCAGGAACCCUCGAGCACCCACACAGCCGGCCUCACAUUUUCCUCUCUCCACCCGGAAAAACCAAGCAGUAUCUGUCCCUGAAGGGCCUCUAAGCAGGACAGACGGACAGAUGGAGGGUUGGCUGGGGUACCUGCCACUGCCACCUCUCCCGCCUGGCCCAGAGUCACAACACAGACCCUAGGUACCUACAGCACAGUGACCAGAACCCCGGUCCUCUGCAGAAGUCCUGUCCCUGCUGCCGUGACCAGCCACCAGGACCCUGCCCCCCAGGGAGGCCCAAGGAGGGCAGCAGCCAGUCCAGCCCAAACCCACAGGUGCUGAGCCCCCCAGCAGGGUCUGGGACACAGAGGAGCAGCCCUGCCGGGGUGGGACCCUGGGCCUGCACCCUCACAGUGCUUCCCAAGGGACAACAGGGAUUUGGGGGCUCCCCCCACUACCCCUCGAGUCACCACACACCCUGGGACGAGUGAUCAGCAGAAAGGAUUUGGAAACAGCGACUUCUCUGACAGGAAAGGAACCCAGUCGUGUCAGCACUCCUGCCCAGAGUACCCUGCACCCCCGCCCCGUCCAGGAACCACACCCGCCCCACCCUGCGCCCCUUACCUCGUGUGCCGCUGCACCCAGGGCCCGGCAGCCAGGGCAGGAGCAGCAGGACCAACAGGUAGACCAAUGAGAGCGCAUUCACACGCACCAGGGAGGCUGCGGGGAGACAGAUGCUCAGCACGGUGGCCCAGGGGUGCAGGCCGGUCGCGCCCCUCCCGGCCCACGAGGCCACCCAUGCCCCAUGAGGGGUCCAUGGACAGGGAGUCCACGUCACCGUUGCUGGGCACCACUGUGGCCCUGUGACCUGGCUAAAGUGCACACAGCAGAGGUGGGAGCCGGGCCCAAUUCUCCUAACUCACUGUUUGCUUUCUCUCUCUGACCAUUUUGAGAGAGGCCUUGCUGGUUUCCACAGCAGCCUUGAGCUUGCUGCAGCCCAGACUGGCCUUGGCCUCAGCCCUCCCUGCCUGUGCCACACGCCUGGCCAUGUACUCCCUGCCAGCGCAUAGCCUGCGGGCUCUAGGCGCUCCCACAGCGAGGAGCCACGGCCACACAGUGCCUGUCCUUCCUGGGAUACGGACCCCGCUCUUCCCAGUCCGCACGUCUCAGGGCCUGGCUCCCUGCCACUCAGGCCUGCAGGGCUAGCCGAGGACUGCCAGGUGGCCAGGCUCCUGAGCCACAGCGUGGCAGCCCCGCCUGCCUCUCACAGGUCAGCCUGUCCCCUCCCAGGAGCGAGAUGACCAACCCAGCCUCAUGCCAGGGGAACGGGGCCCAUGCAGCAAUGCCAGGUGCAGGGGAGGCUGUGUGCUGAGUGUUGCCACUUCCCUGCCCUCCAGGCCCCAGGCACAGCAGCCUCAGGAGCCGGGCCGGCCUGGCCCCGGGUGGGGAGGGCGUGGCCAGCGGAGCACUCAUUGGAACUCCUUGCCCUCCUGGACACUGACCUGUGGCUCGGCCUCUGUCCAGCACAGGUGGUGCCGCCUUCUCUGCCCCGAGAGGCUUGGACCAGAGGUGGUCCUCCCCUUCGUACCCCAGGUGCGAGCACCACAGCCCUGCAAUGGGCCUGACGUGAGCUGGCCAGGCUCAGGAACAGAAAUCGGUCCCAAAAUUCUCCCUGGAGGGAGGGCCAGGGCCAGCUGUGUACUCUGAAUGGGCCUGGCAGGCCACUUUCUCUAGGGACAGAGGGACACAGCAGCAGCACAAGCCUGCAGCACAGGGUGCCGUGCAGACAGACGCCUGGCUCAGGAACAGCAUCCUAACUGCUCCAGGAAGUGCCUCCCGCCUGCCCCCCAGGCUUCUCUGUGGGCUACGGCGAUCCACUGAAGGUUCUCAGCAAUUACUUUUCCGGAACAGAAAUCUAUCCGCUGAGCCCGAGAGGCAGGACAGAUGCUGGUGCUGCCUGCCACAGGCCAUCCCAGGCCUGUCCCCACUGCCCAGCAUCUGGCCCGUUCGCCAGCCUGGCGAGGGGUUCUCCGGCCAGGUGAUGCCCAUCUGUCCAUCUGCCCACCCGUCCAAGUGACUUUUUCCCCAGGACCAAUGCUGCAGGUCCCUGCCUGUGCUCGUGGGAAACCCGUGACACUAAGCAGGUCACAGGGACCAGGAGUGGCACGGACGGUGAGGGGGCACGCAGCAGUGCAAACACAUGAAAGCCAAGGGCAACUGGGGCUGUGCAGACAGACAGACGGCAGCCCCGGAGCUCCGUGAGGGGCUCCAGAAACCGGGCUCGCAGCUGUGGGCAGAGGCCCGCCUGAGCUCUGUGCAGGAAAUCUGAGGACAACAAAGAAUCACUGCUUCUUCCAAGAACGAAAACCAAGCACAUGUGAUUUCCACCACGAGCGAUGCCAAGCUCGUCCUUGAGGACUGGCCAGGGCCAAAUCAGAGAAAGUCCUCCCCACUAGACGGAAAUGCCCGUGUUCCACGCUGCAGGGCCGGCUUGCGUUUUCCUGGCAGCUGACAGCAACCCUUCGCCAGGCCCGGUGCCCUACUUAGGGGCUCACGGGGUGCGGCAAGGUAUUUCAAAGGCUGCUCUGCUGAUGAACCAAGGAAACAACUCUCUUGGCAUCAGAAACAGCGGUCAGUGUAUUCCGCCCACCCCUGCCCUACACUCCACCGCACAGCCACUGGCCGCCCACCCCACUGGGCCGCAGCCGCGUAGGUCCCCAGUGCCUGCUGCACACCGUACCAGCCGCCUCCGCACGGUCACUGUGCACAGCGCCCACUUUUAUUUGUCUCCUAGUAGCUCCCAGUCUGGGUCGCAAGCCUGCAGGACAGCAGCGCUUAGAAGCUGCGAUGGACAUGGCAGGAAGGACGCUGAACACCAGCUGUGUGCACAGUUAGACCGGCUGGAGACACAGAGGCCCCUUCUCACCUCGCUGAGACGGAGUCCGAGUGCACGGCUAAGCAUAUGCACCAGAAACCAGUGUUAGCAACACAGAACAUAACUGGAGUAUUCUGGGUCGCAGUAAAAGCUUUUCCCAAGAA